UAGGGAAGUCUUCCACAAUGGGCGAAAGACCUGAUGGAGCAACGCCGCGUGUGUGAUGAAGGGUUUCGGCUCGUAAAACACUGUUGUAAGAGAAGAAUGACAUUGAGAGUAACUGUUCAAUGUGUGACGGUAUCUUACCAGAAAGAAACGGCUAAAUACGUGCCAC
rnacentral:rRNA from 1 species